AGGACGAACGCUGGCGGCGUGCUUAACACAUGCAAGUCGAGCGGAAAGGCCCUUCGGGGUACUCGAGCGGCGAACGGGUGAGUAACACGUGAGCAAUCUGCCUUUAGCUCUGGGAUAGCUCCGGGAAACCGGGAUUAAUACCGGAUAAGACCACUUUAGACAUCUGUUGUGGUGGAAAGAAUUUCGGCUAGAGAUGAGCUCGCGGCCUAUCAGCUUGUUGGUGGGGUAACGGCCCACCAAGGCGACGACGGGUAGCCGGCCUGAGAGGGCGACCGGCCACACUGGGACUGAGACACGGCCCAGACUCCUACGGGAGGCAGCAGUGGGGAAUAUUGCGCAAUGGGCGAAAGCCUGACGCAGCGACGCCGCGUGGGGGAUGAAGGCCUUCGGGUUGUAAACCCCUUUCAGCAGGGACGAAGCGAAAGUGACGGUACCUGCAGAAGAAGCGCCGGCUAACUACGUGCCAGCAGCCGC
rnacentral:rRNA from 1 species